GAGAGGGGGUCUUGCCAUGUUGCCCAGGCUGCAUCCUAAAUUUUCAGGUUAUCAAUGUUAAGGAAAGAGGAAUCAAUGCCAAGACUCAAUAUUAGAAAAACGAAUGGGCAUGCACGACACAUCAGUGAAGGAACAAUGAAAAAUGAGCGCAUAAAGGAAUCAAAGAGUCUGCUGCACCACCCUGAAGACCUGGGCUACUUUCAUCAUUGUCAUGUUUGCUGUUUGUUUGUUUGUUUGUUUAUACUUACCCUGCCUAUUCCAGUAAGAUUUAAGGCAGCUGUCUCUCAUUUUCUUAGCCUCCAAUAUACACGCACUUUAUUUAUUUUGUGAUCAGUGAUUUAAAUUAUUAUAUUCCAGACCAUAGCAUAUG